UAGGAAAUGGUGUAUCGGAAGCACUAAGAGUUUUGAUCUCUUCAGAUAGGGUUCAAAUCCCUUUUUUCUAA
rnacentral:tRNA from 1 species